UCUGGCUCUGAAUAUGAGCCAUUGUUUCAUGAAGCGCUGAGUGAACCAACGAGCCACUUUCCUCCUACACCUUGCUACACCAGUUUCAAGAGAGCUAGCGACGAGGCAGGACAUGGUGGCGAGGUGGUGGUGUCUGUGGUGUUCUGCUGUUCUGUCAGGUUGCUGUGAGGUGGCUGUGGUCGUGGUGGUGCAGUGAAGUUGAGUGUUUUGACGUAUUUGUUAUGGGCUUGCGUUAGGUUUAUUACGCGUGGUGUGUGAUUGUGUGUUUGUGUGAAUGUGCUUGUGUUUGCGUGUUAGUUCCUAAACGUUUGUUUCCGUCAGUAAUGUAUAAUCCUUACAUCCAUUGUUUCUUCUUUCAUCUAUGUUUACCCAGUCGUGGUCACCUGUUAUUCUUCCUCUAUUUAUCCAUCUUCUCUUGCACUAGUACUGUGGAUUCCAAGCACGUUUUCUUUAAACAAACAUAACUUUAACUUAGAUCCUAUUCUACUUUAACCUAACCUCCCUUAACCUAACCUUUUUUAACCUAAUCUUACUUUACAUAACCAAACGCGCGUGGCGGCAGCGGCCAAAUGUUUAGAUUAUUUUAUACGCUUAGAAAACCAUGCUUUGAUAUUUGUUAGUGUCGGUACCAAAUAUAGAAGUGUGAUACUUGUGUAGUUUAUUCAUUAAAUAUUCUAUGCAUGCAUGUGUUUUGUUAUUGUGUUCAUAUUAUUAGAUUAGGUUAGAUUUGGGAUUCCCUCCCAAAUCUCAUUCUGUCCACCUCGCUAAUGCGAGAGUUAACCAGUGUUCUCAAUCAUUCAUCCCAUUUUUUGGCAAACUCCUGAACUGGCAAACUCCUAAACUCCUUGCCUGCUUCUUUCCUGUGUCCACUUGUCUAAUGCAAGAGCUUUCAAGGAGGACAGACAAGUUUAAAGUUUGAAAUGAAAGGUGGAAAUAGACAGGCGCGUUUCAUACAGAAACUGUAACAUGUAGGACCGAUGUCUUCCUGCAGCUUCCCGAUUUUUUUGUUUUAUCAUUCAUCCUUUUUUUUUUUUUUCUGGUGAACUCCUGAACUUCAUGCCUAAUUUCGUAUUUCCCCCUUCCUAUGUCCACAUCUCGAAUGCAAGAGUUAACCAGUAUUCACUAUCUUUCAUCACUAUUCUGUCCACCUCUCUAAUGCAAGAGUUGACCAGUAUUCUCAGUCUUUCAUCACAAUUUCUCCCCUCUCUAAUGCAAGAGUUAACCAUCACUUUUGUUGCAACUUAGGAAUUAAGAAAAACGCAAAAGAAGGAAGGAAGAGACAAGAAUGAAUAAGUGAAGAAGGAAGUCAAAGUUGAAAAACAAAUGAGGGAAGCGGAUAAACACGAAAGUAGAUACCAAGAUUACGAGAAGCUAUCACCACCUUGCUAAAUGAGAGACGAGACGUGACCACCGAGGAGAACAAGCAGCAGCGGUGAGUCCUCACAAGACUAACAGAGCCGAAGAAUAACAACAGAUUACAGGAGGAGAUAUCCAGGGCUCACAAACAGACGCGAAGUGUCAUGGAACGGGGAAUAGGAUAGCUCAAAAUGCGCUUCCAUAUCCUAUACUGCGAGAUGACGAAGGUGAUCUGGCCAUAGGAUAGCCUGAAGAUGUACAAAUAGUGCUACCACUUCAGCUGGUCACCAGAAUCAAGGUCGCCUGUAUCUAGAUGAAUUCUGCAACUUGCACACAAGUACGUAGGAUGAUUUGUUCAUAUACAAUUUUG